UGUCUCUUAGCCCAUCCUUAAGAUCAUUGAAAGCAGGAAGCUGCUGAAAUUUCAUGAGUAACUUUUCCAAUUCCCCUGUACAUAUUCUAAAUUAAUGGAAAACACAAGACAGACUUUCUGAAAAGGUUACUUUUAUUUAGAUAAUAGAAUCCCAUCUUUGAAUUUUGCAGGAUAAAGGGGGGGUCCCUGGAAAAUGCAUAUUCUCAGCAAAGGAUAAUUUUUUGUGAUUUCUCAUGACAGUCAUGGUGACUGUCUAACCAGUUCUUUUUGCCCUUUUUGUUACCUUUCUACAGAUAACACAAUAAAAUACAAUUGGAAUGUUUAACUUCCCUUCUAUAAAUUUUUUUCCCUAGAUUUUUGUUCAAGUCUUGCAAGGGUUGUGGUUGAAGAAACAAGCAAAUUUUCGUUCAAGCAACUGGUUUUGUACUCAUAGCAAGACCUUGAAGAGAUACAGCAGAAAACAAAAGCAUGUUGACAGAACAGUUUAUUUGGACAUUAAUAUUAGCAUUUUUUUAUAAAAGCAGUCCCAACAUAAUCUGCAAGAAAAUCAGUUUGUGAAGGAGGCUGCCUACAGAAGCUGUAGAAGCUCCAUCCUCAGAGAUAUUGAAAAAUCAACCAAGCCUGGAGCAACCCACUGUGAUGUCAAAGUUAGCCCUGCUUUAGAGUUUGUGAGCCAGAUGGAUUGUUUUCACUGAGUGGACCAAGCUCCUGGAAAACAAACAAACCAAAGCAAACCCCUGUAUAAAUGUCCUUGUUUGAAAAAAAGAUGUGUAGAAAAGGAGACACAAGAUCACAGAAAGAAAACUUGGGUUCAACGACAAAGGCAGCAGGAUGCAGCCCUGAGUCUUGUCCUUGCCUUCAUCUCACCAACUCCCUGUGAUUUGGGCAAGCUCCUUAACACAGAUUUUUUCACAAGCAACAAUAAUUUUCUGAGUUCCCUCUUACAAGAAAUCCUACCUUUUGGUUGCUUUGCAUAUCUGCCCCUAAGAUGGGAUGCUUCAUGCUCCCCAAGUAAAUAUUUCUAGUUGCUAUAGUCAGCUAGGUCAGAUGCUAGCUCAGGUUUCUCCAGGGUAGAUGCUACAGCUUGAAGAAAAAGUGCCCUUGCAGAGCUUAGUUCAAAAUGGCUGCGAGUCCUUACAGCUGCACAGGAACACACUGGGGGCUAAAGUGAACACAGACAAUCCUAGAGAACACUGAACAAUCAGUUAAAACAAAAAUAAAAAUUCAUCUCCAGAUAUCACAUACUGGGCCCAAAAUACUUAGGUUCUUCCAAUAUUUUUGCAUUUGUAGAGUGAAAUUCCUGUUUUCUUAUCCUUCAGAACUUUUGAGAAAAAUUAACUAAUCCAUGAUCAAGAAGAAACUGGAUAAUAUACUGGUUACAGUACAUGAGCCUUUGAGAGCCACUGUGACUCCCACUCCUGUGUUCUUACAAGCACACUACAAACCCUUGGUUCUUAUAGGUUCAUUCUGAGCAUGGGAUCUUGGGAACAGCAGUGGACCAGCAAGAGCAGAGGAACCUUCAGUGUGCAGGAACCUUCUCUGUUGGGCACAGAGGCAGUGAUAAGGUGACAGAGUGGAUAUAAAGUGCUGAUAAGGAUGUACACCUCUGGCUCCCUCCACCAUUGCCAGUGUUGCAGCCAGAGGAGGUAGUUCCAGGGGAAACAGCCUUCUGCCUGUGAGAAGUGACAUCCCAGUCAUCCCAUCAGCAUUCACCAUUACUCCAUGGCAGUUUAGCAAAGAGCACUUGUUAUUCAGGAGCAGCAGCUUCCUCUGAAUGCUGUGCCUUUGCUUUCAGUGGGGCCACGAGGGACACAGAAAUGUUCAACAUGCACAGGAAUGGAGAUUCCCCAUUUUUAACCUCCCCUGCUCACUCUGAACUCUCCCACCCUCUGCCUUGUGACUGUCUAGGCUAGGUGACUGAAAUUCAUUGUAGGAUCACACAGUAGCAAGGAGCAGGAGAAAUGUACAGAGCGUUUCCAGUCCUCUCUGUUACCCUGAUGAUUUAUCUGUGUGUACUUCAUGUACCCCAAAACCAGACAAAGUGUUUAUAGGCAGGCUCUCUAGUAUCACACCACUGAACCCUGCUUGUCCAGUGAGCAGCUUCCGUGAAUUGUCUAUAUGAAUGUCCAAAAUGGGGCUGGCUUGCAGGUGCAAACAGUGUUUACUAAUACUGGUAUGACUAGCUAUCCCUGAUAUUGAGUCAAGAUUAUGAAGAGUUAAACUUUACCUAGGAGUUAGAAGCAAUUUGUACUGAUUGAACCAAAGGAUAAGUUAAUGAAGAGUUAGAAAUUUAGCCAAGAAGUAUAGUGCUAUUCACUAUUAUGUACCUGUCUGAAACUUUGCUUAUAGUAAAUGAACUGUCAUAAGGAUAAAAGAAGCUGAUAGAAUUAUAGCUAGCACCUAGAUUGCAUGAUCAAAUACAGGGGGGAGGUAUAGACCAUCUCCAGAAGGCUUGCCAAGGCUUGCCACAAUAGAAGGUAGGAAGUUCAUGGUGAUGAAGAGAUCCCUGACUUCAUCUUUCAAGACCACCGACCCAAAUCAAGAAAAGAAUUGUGCAUGUCCAAAGGACUAGUAACCUCAUUUUAACAGGAAGCAGCAAUGGGAGGUGCUGGAGGUACGUAUAUGAUUAAUAUGUAGCACUUUGUGAAAUAAACAGUGGGCAAAUAACCGUGUAAGGGGCUGGCACAUCUCUAGGAGGUGACUCCCAUGCUGCCCACCUGCAUAAUAAACAUACCACUUUCUAACUUUAUUUAGUUAGAGUUUUUGUCCGUGAAUAUCGGGUUUUUAACAAUUCAAUAUAUGACUUGAUGUUCUUGUUACUCUUCUAUGGGCUUUGAAAUCUGCUCCAGAUUGUUCCAAAUAGAGAAAAACAAAAGACAAACUUCUGGGCUGUGUCCUAGCAUGGAGUGUAAAGCAGCAGCAGCUCUUUAAAUUGCUGCGGCAACUCUGGCGAAAUUAGGGAAACACAAUAAACUAAAACUUUUUGUCAGUAUGGUUGGAUCAGAGUUUGUGUGUAUUAAAAUAAUAGAUGAACGAUGUCAACAGAUUAUUAUAUUCUCUGAAGAGUUGAAAUUGUGGGGGAAAAAAGCAGGUUUUUGUAAAAAUAUGUUAUUGAAGAGGUGAGACUCAAAGCACCCAUGGUUGCUUUGCCUUUUUUUGUCUUGUGUACUUGUACAGUACUUUGUCAAAUAUAACCAAAGAGUAGCAUCCAGAAAUAUUUGAAAUAUAAAUAAAAAUCACAUAUUGUGAAUUUUAAUCGAUAGAGGCAAAGAUGUUUAUUCACUGGAACAAAGUUGAGACUUUAGCACUAUGAAAGAGCUAAAGAGAUUGUAGAGGACAAGUGAGAAUUCAAGUAUUGAUAGGUGGCUCUUCGGAAAGAAAGCAAAUCAAGGAAUUAAAUCAAGUUUAAACUCAGGAAAAUACAUUUCCUCAAAAAGAUUUCAGUUUGUUAGAGUGCAACUACACAUAGUAAUGCUAGUCUAUUCCUAUGUAAUGAAGACAGUACAUAGUGAACUUGCAAGGCAUGGAUGACUGGUAGGCAUGGUCCAGAAGACAGUGGAUGUGAUGUCCCCUGAGAAAUAAAUAAUAAUAAAACCUGUCCAAAACCUCAGAUAUGAAAGACCAUGGUAUUUCUUGUCACUUCCCAGAUACCUACAUUACUGGCAACAUCUUGUCAUUUGCUUUUUCUAACCACAGGAUUCCUUCUGAAGUGACUCCCACUGUGUACCAGAGAGCAUCUAUUUUUGUACAGCUCCCAUGGUAGCUAGUUCCCCAUCUUUAAAAAUCAAUGUUGUGUGGCUUAGGGGAGGGAUAGAAUUGAAUUCAUGCUGAUAUAACACUUUCUUGCAAACCCUUCCAUGUAUUUAUACUGGUGGAGACUCUGUGAUUUCUAAGAUUUACAUUACAUGGAGCUGGUCCUUAAAAUUGCAUUUACUUGUUUCAUUUCUGGGUGACUGCAUGAAAUCUAACUUACUCUCAUACACGUGUCAAUAGAAUCUUAGACCUAAGAAUCUGAUAAACACAGUCUUCUGGCAUCCCAGAGGAGCAAGAGAUCCAUUUAAUCUUUGGCAAGGGGGAAGGAAUAUGUCUUUGCACUGAAUGUAUGAAAAAGUGAAUUGAAACUGAUGAUGGUGCAAGUUCAUAUUAUCCUAAACUACAAGGUCUUGGAGGCCUUUUUCAUUGCCAGUCACCGCAAUUAGCAAAAGCUAUAUUCAGCAACUUUAAAUCAAGUCCUCUGUGCUCUGGCUGAAGUAACAAGUUUAGCUUAAAAUGAGGGUUUUGGGCUAAUUUGUACAUUUCUCAGAAGUAGGGUGAAUAUAUGAAACUGGUAAACUUCUCAAGGCUGCUUCAGGAAUAUAAAUAGCCACUGUGUGAUUCCUGAGAGACAGGUAGUAUAACCUGAGGUUUUAAAAGUACUAGAAAUAUUAUUAUUUUUAUCUGAUAAUUAAAGAAUACUACUUCCUCACUUGAGAAGGAGAAAAGCUGUUUUUCUUGUCAUCAUUAUGAUUUCUUGUUGUUUAUAUGUUCUAGUGUUUAUAUGGAGUGUUCUUCAGUUGUGUGGAUAAUACAAUUUGGGAGUUACCUUUGUUAAAAUAGAUCAAAAACUGAGUUGAAAAGGAUUUUUGAUAAUGGCUAGUCUAUCCUUCUGCCUUAAAGUGUGAGCACGUGUGCCUAAACCAUACCUGGUGGAUAUUUUAUUGAAGUUCUCUUCAAAAUGUUCAGUGUGCUGAAGAACUUUACAGGAAUAUGGCAUAAUAGGACAUGCAAGGAAGGUGAACAGUAAAGGGGGGAUCCUGUGGCAAAUGCAUGAAAAAGUUUUUCAGUAUUAUUUUGUGGUCUGCUUUUCCCUUCCAAAACAUUUCAUUCCUUCUGUUUAGUACUGCCUGAGGAUUUGUGAACAGAGCUUUCAUUUGAUAGCUGCAUCAGAAGCGAAACUGCUUGAACAAUCCUGGAUGACCUACCCAUUUUCCUUUCUCUCAAUUACAUGAGUUCCUCUCUCAAUUACAUGAGUGCGCAGCACUCCUGAGUCCACCUCUCCAACAAGUUGUGCCCCCUCAUGCUGGCAGAUUCCUUGGUUGCUUAUAUUAAUUUCACAGGACAGGAUGUCAAAAAUCUUACUGAAGUCAGGAUGAUGUGACAGCUACUGCUUCUCCUGUAUAAUUUAGACUUUUUAUCCUGUCACAAAAGUAAUAAUUUGUCAUAAUUUGUCCACAAUGAAAUAUGUGGGCUUAUUCCUCCUCCAAUUUCCAUUUUCUGCAAGUGCUUCUGGUGGUAGGUUUUCAGGCAUGGGAGAUUACCUAUCUAGACUGAUGCACUCACUCUUUCUGCCCCCAUAUCUCAAGGACAGUCAUUCUGAGCCUGUUUUUUAUCAGCUUGGACCCCAACACAUCAGUCAGAUCUUCAGGAAGGCAAUAGGAAGUCCCCACUGAGUCAAACCAAAGACCUGUUAUCCCAGGAUGCAGCCUGCCUGCCAUCCACUGGCCAGAAGCACAUGGGUAUGAAUCGUUAAAAAGCCCGGUAUUCACGGACAAAAACUCUCCAACUAAUUAAAGUUAGAAAGUGAUAUGUUUAUUAUGGAGAUGGAGCAAAUUGUUUCUUAACCUUUUGAAUGAAAAAUUAAUUUAUAAUGGCCAUGGAAGACCAGCAUCAUAAAUCAAUUAUUCUGCAGUUUGUGAACAAAUCUUGGCUUUGUUAAAAUUGCAUUCUUUUAUGCACUUGGAGUUAGCAAUGCAAAUUCAAGUGUUAGCUUUGUUUUAUAUGUAACUGAAAAGCACUAUAUAAAAGCUAGGAAUUACUAUUUAUUUACUGUAUGAUAUUCAUAGUGAGCAGUAUGUGAAAUUAUGUGAAAAUGUCUCCUCUUUGCAUGAGCUGACCUUUAUAAGCUUUCUCUUCUCAACUAAAUAAAUCUUAGAAUUCAGUUUUCUCUUGCACACCUGUAAAUGAAACCACUGUCAGAUGGAGAAUAUUAAUGAAUACUAAACCAAAAAAGUACAUAGUUGAAAAAUUCACUGCUUGCUCAGCUUACAUCCAUACCCUGGGGAUAUUUUUCUGCAGUAAAUGGAGAUUUAUUCUACAGAAUUUAAGCUUUUUUUUCCCCCCAUCCUUUAAAGCCCAAAGGUUUGUGUGGAGAACUUUUCAUUAUUAGAUGUGACUUAUAGGAUAUUGUUCAGCAGCUAAAGUGUUCUGAACAAAAUAAUAAUUGUGUGACCUCUACUUUUUUAAUAGUGAUUUUUCAAGCCAGUCAACAGUGUGAAGAAAGUGUAAACAUUAACUGUUGUACUGGUGAGGUCCAGAACUCACUACUGUGUCUAUUUGCUGACUCAUACAGGGAAAGGUUUCUGGCUGCAGAGCACUGACUUAGUCCCUUUUCCAUCCCCCCCUGACCCUUUCUCACCAUGCUUAAAAGCCAGGGGCUUUACACACUCAAGAGCUGUGGAAACUGAAGUUGCACAGGGCAAUUCCCACCCAGUGACCCUUUGGAAGAGCUCAAUCUCUCGACAUAAUGCUGUGUUCAUUCCCAAGACAAACACUGCCAUCAGUAGUGGGGCAUACUGUGAUUUGAAAACCAGCACCACUCUUCCUGUAGAUAUGAUAUAAUGCUUAUAACCCAAUGUAGACAGAAAUUUGCUAAGAAGUGCCAUGUCUGCCAGAAAGCCAGCUGGACUUCAGCAACUACAGCAUCUAAAAACAAUGUGUGCAUGUAUUUUCUGGACCACACAGAAGGCAUCCUCUCACAGAAAAUGAAAACAAUCAGCAGCAGAACAGAAACAGGAUGGAUUACUUCAAAUAAAACCUUAUCUUGUUUCUAUCAAUAGCAUGAUUAUGCUGGUGCUUUACUCAAGGGUAAAGAUAGGGAGUAUUUUUUUAUAGUCUGAUGAAACAAGUAGUGAUUUUUUCCCUGCUUGUUUUGAGGAGCUUCAAGACUCAAUAACAAAACAUUGUUCUUUCAGUUAUGAGUUCUGCUUUUGCUGCCAAUUUCAGGAAGAUUCUCUAAGGCCAUGUUUCACACUAGCAUGAAUGUGUUUUUUUUAUAAUAUUCCCAUCAACAACUGAAAAGUGUGUUACAUAAGUGUGAACAUAUCAUAACAACUUUAAUGUUAACUCAUGUAAGAGCUUUUCCACACAAAACAAUUUAGAAGAACUCAGGCCAAGCAAAAAGAGUGAUAUGUAUAAAGAACAGUUUUAACAUCUGUGUUGUGUUGCCUUCAUUUGGGAAUAAAGUGACUUUAGCUGAGGUCAUUUCAAUGCCAACCUAAAAGUAAAGGUGUACCUUUCCCUUCCAAGGGAUUACAGGUAAGAAAUGUCUCUUCCAGACAAAGAUUUUCAUCUUUUGAUAUGAUGUCAUUUUGGUAACUGCUGAAAUAAUCUACUUUUUAUCUUGCAAGAUGCAGUCCCUGUCAGGGUUCAAUAUGAUCAAUUUUACUGAUGUUUUAAGAGUUUCAUUCUGUCCACACAACUGUGUAUGACUUGGACCUUAUUGGCUCUGCCAAGUACUGUGAAGCAAGGAUUACAUAAAGAGUUGUAUUUAAAGGAUGUGAAUUAUUUCAGUCUUGGCAAAAGAGUAGUUGAUGAAAAAUUUUCUUUGGUUCCCAAUGGUUACUGUGAAGAAAAGAAUCUUGACUUCUAGGGAAAUUUAAUUUUUGAGUCAACGGAUAUGAGAUCAAUCUUGGGUUUUUUCAGAUCAUCUCUUCUUACAGUUUGUCAUUGUGCUUGUUCUUAUGUUGUCUCCUCCAGAUGUUUUUAGUUUUUCACUAAAUAGUUUUGGGAUGAAUUUUUUGAAUGCACUUCAUUUUGUUUGGAUGCCCCAGUUAAGGGUGAAAUAUGUGUUUAUCUAGAUAUGCUUAGUUGUAGAGGCAAAGGAAAUUGUGUAGUUUGUUGUUUAUGAUACUGUUUUAUAUUCUAGCUUAGAAGCCUGAAUCUUCAGAUUUGAACAAUUCUCUUCCAUGACAAAAGUUGAACCUUUCUGACCUGUAAAAAUGCUUAUAAACAGAAGCUUGCAAAGUCUUCUAAGAAAAUCAGUCUGGUACAAUUGCAGUAAAGUGCUUCUUAUAAUUUUCUUCCUUCCUUUUUUUACUCAUACCUUUACUCAUGUAGAAUAUUUUCUCAUCUAGUAGUUGCUAGUUAAGUAAAAUCUUUCUUUAAAAUUCUGCUUUUAAGUUUUUAUUCAGCACUUCACUUUUUUCCUCUCAGAUUUCUUAAAAACUCCUGCAAUUUUGGCACAUUUACCACCAUAACCCAAAUCCAGCAAUUUUUUUUGUUUUGUGGCAUACUCUGUAUUCUUUUCAGGCCUUUUUUUGUCCUUUUGCAGCUUCUGAGAAAAUAACAUUCACUUAUUUGAACAUGCUAGGCCAUUUGAGGUUAUAUUUGUCUGUCAGCUCUUUUAGCUCUGUCCUUCAUGUUAACAAAUUUUGCAGAAGACAAACCCAUCUUGCUAUGGAGGUAUUGUAAAAUACAUAUACAAAUGACAAUGUUGCAGAAACUAACCAGAGGCAAAGAUCUGUCACAAGUCUGCUUAAUUACUCUCUUAUUCACCGAUUCUCUUUGCAUUAUUGAAAAACCUAUAAAAUCAAAACACUGCUUUCUAGAGCCUGCGUUCCUUACUGAAAGUAAUAAUAGCAGUUGUUAACAAUUAGACUCAGGACAAGCAAGUUCAUGCCUGAGCCCAAACUUGCAAAUGUGGUUUUAACGUGCAAAAAAAUUGUGACACAUUCUUCAGCAACAGAAUGAAACCUAAACCAUGCCUGGUGAGAAGAGUAUACUAUACCUAAUACCUGUUCAACUAUAAUAUCUUCUACAGAUACUAUCUCAAGCCAGCAAGAAUACCGGGAUCCUUACAGCACUGCAAACACAGCCAAGAUCUUUUGGAACAAGGAAAGCGACCAUCAGGCUCUUCUGUAAUUUGUUCACUUUGUCACCUUUUAUGUUGUUUAUUAUGGUGUCCUCCUCACUAAGAGCCCUCAUCAUUCCUGCCCUGUCCUUGAGGUUUCACUUCAAGCACUGAAAUGGUGACAAACUGACACACAAAGGACAGUCUCCUAGAUCUGAGCCAGCACGGUUCCAUCUGCUGUUUAGCAGGGGUUCAUGGAAAAGGGGGCAGCCCAAAUGCUCCCAUUAAAAGUAGAAAUAAUUUCAUUUCUGCGUAAAACCACAUUAGCCUUAUUUAGCAGACCCCUUGUUCCUCAAUGUGUGGAGACUUUGUUCAGUGGUGAAUCCCAGCAGUGGCUGGUUUUUAGCCUCAGGCCAUAGGCUGCACAUAACCAUUGGCCUUCUCCCGACUUUGAUCAUUGCCUUAUCAAACAAUGCUAUUUUCAUGAGCUCUAUGCACGGUUUUAGCAUAAUUUCUCAAAACACACAUUUUAUAGCUAAUCUGUGAUAAUUAUAACUUAAUUUGGAGAAGAAGAGGGUGUGAGGGCAAAAGGUUUAAUUGCUGAUACAUGGCUGGAGCUCUGUACCAUCAUCAGAUGAAGUGCUGUAUAAUUUGUAGAGUUUUACCUUGUAAUAGCUCUAAUGGUGUGAUACCCCUAACUAGUUUUCCAAGUAUAUUUGCAAAUUUCAUUGUUAAUAACAAUCUUAAUCUGGUAUUCAUUAGCCUGUUAAUUAUAUUGUCAUUUAGAAACCCUUGCUUCCAAUUAGCUUUAAUGACAACAUCAGAAUAAUUUUUCUGUGCUGCCAUUUUUGUGCAACACUUUCCCAUUCAAACUGCCUGCUGUUCUAUCUUAAUUAAAUUUAAUAACAGUAGUGGUAGUUUAUAGGGGACUUUUUAACCUCAUUUAAUGUCAGACCAUUUAUACUAGUUUGAAGUAGGCACUGAAAAUGUUUGCAUUAAUCCAGUUACUUUUAAAAGGAGCAAACUUCACUUUUCAGAUUAUUUUAAUUAAGGCAAAAUCGCCAUGAAAGGUCAAACUCCCUACCUGUGCAAAUAUGUAGAAACAUUAGGGGGUUUUCUAAGUACAAUGAAGAUACAUUAAAAAAUCAACAAUAUCAAGAAACACUAAAGCACUAAUAUAAAGAAGGAAGCCAUAACUUUUGUUUGUUUUAAUAGAGGAGGAAAGGGUGAAAAAGCUGUCAGUGUCAUUAGUGACUCAGUAUUGCCAUUCAGACCAAAUUUCAGGUAGGGAAUGGUUGCGGCAUUUUUUAUCUUGGGAAAGCUCCACAGGGCCUGAAUAAUAUGCUUAACAUUAUGCAGCACCCUUGAAGUUGCACCGUGAGACUAAAAUCAUGGUUCUCAUUAAAAAUAAUUAUCUUUUUAGCCUAUGUAAAUUUAAAGCACUUCAGAGAAUCUUUCCAGGAGAUUACAGAAAAUGACAAAAAAAUAGAUUGAAAGAGAUGCUAGAGGUCACUGUCAUGGGUUAGCAAGCAUAGUCCCGGAAGUGAUGUUCUUGCAAAGGGGUUCUUACAGCUCCUCUAUGACCUGA